rnacentral:rRNA from 1 species
UACGGAGGGUGCAAGCGUUGUUCGGAAUCAUUGGGCGUAAAGCGCGUGUAGGCGGCUUGGCAAGUCGGUUGUGAAAGCCCGGGGCCCAACCCCGGAAUUGCAUCUGAAACUGCCUCGCUAGAGUCCCGGAGAGGAAGGCAGAAUUCCCGGUGUAGGGGUGAAAUCCGUAGAUAUCGGGAGGAAUACCAGCGGCGAAGGCGGCCUUCUGGACGGUGACUGACGCUGAGACGCGAAAGCGUGGGGAGCAAAC